AACAGGAUUAGAUACCCUGGUAGUCCACGCCCUAAACGAUGUCAACUAGCUGUUGGGGGCUUCGGCCCUUGGUAGCGCAGCUAACGCGUGAAGUUGACCGCCUGGGGAGUACGGUCGCAAGAUUAAAACUCAAAGGAAUUGACGGGGACCCGCACAAGCGGUGGAUGAUGUGGAUUAAUUCGAUGCAACGCGAAAAACCUUACCUACCCUUGACAUGUCUGGAAUGCCGAAGAGAUUUGGCAGUGCUCGCAAGAGAACCGGAACACAGGUGCUGCAUGGCUGUCGUCAGCUCGUGUCGUGAGAUGUUGGGUUAAGUCCCGCAACGAGCGCAACCCUUGUCAUUAGUUGCUACGAAAGGGCACUCUAAUGAGACUGCCGGUGACAAACCGGAGGAAGGUGGGGAUGACGUCAAGUCCUCAUGGCCCUUAUGGGUAGGGCUUCACACGUCAUACAAUGGUCGGGACAGAGGGCAGCCAACCCGCGAGGGGGAGCCAAUCCCAGAAACCCGAUCGUAGUCCGGAUCGCAGUCUGCAACUCGACUGCGUGAAGUCGGAAUCGCUAGUAAUCGCGGAUCAGCAUGUCGCGGUGAAUACGUUCCCGGGUCUUGUACACACCGCCCGUCACACCAUGGGAGUGGGUUUUACCAGAAGUAGUUAGCCUAACCGCAAGGGGGGCGAUUACCACGGUAGGAUUCAUGACUGGGGUGAAGUCGUAACAAGGUAACC
rnacentral:rRNA from 1 species